UCCUAAAUUCUGAAGCAUACAUUCUCAUCUUUCUAGCUUUUGUUCACUUAAGGCUUGAAAAAAGAUGAAACUUGUGUUUGCUACAUCGCUUCUUGUUACACUGCUCCUCAGCUCUUCUUUUGUUGAAUCCACCAUCGAUAGUAUUUGUUUCUCAAAGUGCGAAGUGAGGUGCAAGGAUGCAAAAGAGAAGUUUCAGUGCCUCAAAGACUGCAAAUUAUGCUGCGAGGAUUGCAACUAUUGUGUGUUUUCUGGUACUUUUGCAAACAAGCCCAAGUGCCCUUAAAAAAAGUUAGCAGAAAAGAUACGUACACAAAACUUGUGCACAGAAAAAUACUUCAAAAAUUAUUGUGUGAUUGAUUCAACUCGCGUACUGUGGGAGUCCACAUAUAUAAAAAUAUAAAAUGAAUAUCAGUACAUAAUAAUUUUCUUGGUGUAUUUCUGUACAUGAGUUUUAUGUAUCUAACAUUGUUGAAAUGUUAGAUUCACAAUUCACCUACUUGUUUAUCUUCGUUUAUGUUGUGUUUGCUGUGCUUUCUAGCUAAUAAAGAAGGAUGAUAUAUGUCACUAUCA